CCAAAACAAAGCUUGGAUUGUGGUCAGGGUAAAGACUCAGACCUGGAUACCUUCUCAGACCUGACAUCACUGGCAGUGACAGAAAGAGGAGCACAAUAUGGGAACACCACGAAAUGCAUGGCAAGGCUGUUCUGGAAUCGAGGAAUACAAGGCACCUGUGCCAGUUGGCCCCUUCCAGUCACUGGAAUGGGAUGAUCUGGGUAGUUGGUUAGACUUGGAGCUCCUGGAACUACUCUGUGGUGCUUUGGUAUCUGUUCUACAAACAACUACUGCACCUGUCC
rnacentral:lncRNA from 12 species